AGUGAGACUGCCGGUGACAACCGGAGGAAGGUGGGGAUGACGUCAAGUCCUCAUGGCCCUUAUGGGUAGGGCUUCACACGUCAUACAAUGGUCGGUACAGAGGGUUGCCAAACCGCGAGGUGGAGCCAAUCCCUUAAAGCCGAUCGUAGUCGGAUCGUAGUCUGCAACUCGACUACGUGAAGUCGGAAUCGCUAGUAAUCGCAGAUCAGCAUGCUGCGGUGAAUACGUUCCCGGGUCUU
rnacentral:rRNA from 1 species